UACGAAGGGGGCUAGCGUUGCUCGGAAUGACUGGGCGUAAAGGGCGCGUAGGCGGCUCAUACAGUCAGAUGUGAAAUUCCUGGGCUUAACCUGGGGGCUGCAUUUGAUACGUGUGGGCUUGAGUGGGGAAGAGGGUCGUGGAAUUCCCAGUGUAGAGGUGAAAUUCGUAGAUAUCGGGAGGAAUACCAGUGGCGAAGGCGGCGACCUGGGCCGGAACUGACGCUGAGGUGCGAAAGCGUGGGGAGCAAACAGG
rnacentral:rRNA from 1 species